UACGUAGGCAGCGAGCGUUGUUCGGAAUUACUGGGCGUAAAGAGUGUGUAGGCGGUGUUCCCAGUCUGUUGUGAAAUCUCCCGGCUUAACUGGGAGGGUGCAGCGGAAACUAGAAUGCUAGAGGGUGGGAGAGGUAAGCGGAAUUCCUGGUGUAGCGGUGUUAUGCGUAGAUAUCCGGAGGAACACCUGUGGUGUAGGCAGCUUCCUGGCCCACUUCUGACGCUGAGCCGCGAAAGCGUGGGUAGCAAACAGU
rnacentral:rRNA from 1 species